rnacentral:rRNA from 1 species
UUGGGGAGUACGCCGGCAACGGUGAAACUCAAAGGAAUUGACGGGGGCCCGCACAAGCGGAGGAACAUGUGGUUUAAUUCGAUGAUACGCGAGGAACCUUACCCGGGCUCAAACGACGGAUGAAUGUUUCUGAAAGGAGGCAGCCCUUCGGGGCAUCCGUCGAGGUGCUGCAUGGUUGUCGUCAGCUCGUGCCGUGAGGUGUCGGCUUAAGUGCCAUAACGAGCGCAACCCCCAUCGCCAGUUACCAGCAAGUAAAGUUGGGGACUCUGGCGAGACUGCCGGCGCAAGCUGUGAGGAAGGCGGGGAUGACGUCAAAUCAGCACGGCCCUUACGUCCGGGGCGACACACGUGUUACAAUGGCAGGUACAGAGAGAUGCGAUGCGGCGACGCAGAGCGGAACUUCAAAGCCUGUCUCAGUUCGGAUUGGAGUCUGCAACCCGACUCCAUGAAGCUGGAUUCGCUAGUAAUCGCGCAUCAGCCACGGCGCGGUGAAUACGUUC